rnacentral:miRNA from 15 species
CAAGCUCGUGUCUGUGGGUCGG